rnacentral:rRNA from 1 species
CCUACGGGUGGCAGCAGUGAGGAAUAUUGGUCAAUGGACGAGAGUCUGAACCAGCCAAGUAGCGUGAAGGAUGACGGCCCGAUGGGUUGUAAACUUCUUUUAUAAAGGAAUAAAACGAGGCACGUGUGCCGUUUUGCAUGUACUUUAUGAAUAAGGAUCGGCUAACUCCGUGCCAGCAGCCGCGGUAAUACGGAGGAUCCGAGCGUUCUCCGGAUUUAUUGGGGUUAAAGGGAGCGUAGAUGGGUUGUUAAGUCAGUUGUGAAAGUUUGCGGCUCAACCGUAAAAUGGCAAUUGAUACGGGCAGUCUUGCGUACAGUUGCGGUAGGCGGCAUUCGUGGUGUAGCGG